UACGUAGGGGGCAAGCGUUGUCCGGAAUCAUUGGGCGUAAAGCGCGUGUAGGCGGUUCAGUAAGUCUGCUGUGAAAGUCCAGGGCUCAACCCUGGGAUGCCGGUGGAUACUGCUGGGCUAGAGUACGGAAGAGGCGAGUGGAAUUCCCGGUGUAGCGGUGAAAUGCGCAGAUAUCGGGAGGAACACCAAUUGCGAAGGCAGCUCGCUGGGACGUUACUGACGCUGAGGCGCGAAAGCGUGGGGAGCAAACAGG
rnacentral:rRNA from 1 species